rnacentral:rRNA from 1 species
CAUGCCGCGUGAGNUGAAGAAGGCCUUCGGGUUGUAAAGCUCUUUUGUCAGGGAAGAAACACCAGGCUCUAACACAGUUCCGGAAAAUGACGCGUACCUUGAAGAAUAAGCACCGGCUAACUACGUGCCAGCAGCCGCGGUAAUACGUAAGGUGCGAGCGUUAAUCGGAAUUACUGGGCGUAAAGCGUGCGCAGGCGGUUAUACAAGACAGGCGUGAAAUCCCCGGGCUUAACCUGGGAAUGGCGCCUGUGACUGUAUAGCUAGAGUGUGUCAGAGGGGGGUAGAAUUCCACGUGUAGCAGUGAAAUGCGUAGAUAUGUGGAGGAAUACCAAUGGCGAAGGCAGCCCCCUGGGAUAACACUGACGCUCAUGCACGAAAGCGUGGGGAGCAAACAGGAUUAGAUACCCUGGUAGUCCACGCCCUAAACGAUGCUGACUAGUUGUUCGGGAUUUACAUCCUGAGUAACGUAGCUCACGCGUGAAGUCAGCCGCCUGGGGAGUACGGUCGCAAGAUUAAAACUCAAAGAAAUUGACGGG